rnacentral:lncRNA from 1 species
AAACACAAUAAAAUUUUUAUGGAGGUUGACAAGGUGAAUCUGAACUUCAUCUGGAAGACAAAAUGUUCAAUGAUAAUUAACAUAAAAUCAAUGAUGGGGGCAUCUCUUACCCAAACAAAUAAAACAUACUAUAUAUCACUGCCAAUUCAAUGCAGUGUGGUGUUUCUAUAGGUACAGAUAUAGAAAUCAAAAAAAUAAAAUAGACAAAAUUGAAACAGACCCAUGUACAUGCGUAAUUUAAUAACACUAAAAGUCAAUUUAAAAAGUGGGAAAAGGAAAAAUCACUUAACGAAUGAUAAUAUAACAUUGACUAUUCAACUAGAAACACAUAAAAUUAGAUUUAUAAUUUGUGAUACAAAAAAACAAUAGAUGGAUUUAAAAAUUAAACAUGAACAACAAAGUUAUAAAAGUUUUAGUCGGAAAUAUAAAACAGGUACUUUGAUCAUUUGUGGCAAAGAAGGCCCACGAAAGGGAUAUAAAACACAGAAGCCAUGAAAAAAGUUACAGAAAAGUGUAACUGCUAAACAUUUGCUGAAAUUGCUUGAAGAAAGGCACCAUCAGCGAAACGAAAACACAAGCAACGGAUUAGAAGAAAAUGUCAGCAGUCUGUACAAUCCCCCAGAGCUGAUUCACCAGAACAUAUUAAGAUCCCACUCUGGUAAGAUAGUAAUUAAUUUUCAAAUACAAAUGACUAAUAAAAACAUGAUUAGAGCCCAUCCCCAGUAGUAAUAAAAGGAGUGGGAAUCGAAGAGCAUAAUGAGACCUCCCCUCCAGACUCUAAAAAUCAAUUAAUUACAUCCUGCACUGGCGGGGUGUGAAGAAGCAUGUAGGCUCACAUGCUCCCAAAGAAAGAAGAAUUGGCUACAGAUAGGUACAGCUUUGUUGAAUUGGCAAUAUUAAUCAAAAAUGUUAAAUAGCAUGGCCUUUGGCUGAAUAAUUCCACUUUCAGUUAUCUAUGUUAUAAAAACACAGCAUAUAAAGAUAUAAGGACGGUUAUUGCAGUAUCUUUUGUAAAAGAGUUUUUAAAACAACCAACAUCUCUAUAAACAGGAGCAAAAUUUAAACUACAGUGCCUCUUUACUACCAACUAGUUUAUAACUAGAAGGAAGGGUCAGGGACAUGAAAGGCUAUUUUUACUGUUUUCUUAUUCCUGCCUUGUAUAAUUCUGUUAUAGUUUAAAAUGUUCUAAAAUUUAAAUAAAAUUUUUUAAAUGAAAGAAAACACAGGUGAAGCAACUGAGUGCCACCCUCAUUAACGCCACCUCCCUUCAUCUGUGUGCAUUUAGUCUUUUUCUCGUGAAUCAGCAGCAGAGACCUGUGGCAGAGAGCUGUUGAGUCAUUCUGCUCUGUCCUUGGGUCCGAGGCUCCAAGGAGUCUAAACUUUCAUGCCCAUCUGCACACAGCUUUUAAAAAUUCAUUACAAUGUUAGCUGCUUUUUUGCUGGGUUUUUUUUUUUUUUUUUUUUAAUGGCUACUUCAAUGGCUGCCAUUCCUCCUCCUGGCUCCUGCAAAAGAGGGAACAGACGGCCCUGUUCCCUUUCUCCACAGAGUGAUUGGCGGUUCCAUUCAUAUGGGGGGGGGGGGUCCUGUCAUCAGGUUACCAUCUCCAAUCUGGGGGCUUAAGAAGGGCAACGUGGUGGUCAGCUCAGUCGGAACCCACUUUUUUUUUUUGUCUUUUUAGGGGGCACUCACGACAUACGAAAGUUCCCAGGCUAGGGAUUCAAUGGAGCUACAGCUGCCAGCCUACACCACAGCCACAGGUGCAGGGGAUCCAAGACCUACACCACAGCUCAGGCAACGCUGGAUCUUUAACCCACUGAGCCAGGCCAGGGUUGGAACCCGAGUCCUCAUGAAUGCUAGUUGUGUUCGUUAACCCUGAGCCAUGACGGGAUGCCAGGCGGGCCCUGUUUAAAAGCUUUCAUGUGCUGUAAUUUCAACAGCUUGUUUUAACCUUAGAGUGAGGGUUCCACCCAGAGAAGUGGGAGGUCACACAGAAUCUGGAUUAUGACUUCCUACCAGUUUGACUUUGGGUGUCCUCACCCGUCAAAUGGGGAUGCUACCAACCACACAGCUUCCCUCAUAGGCUUGUUGUUAAUAGGAGACCAAGAAAUGCAUGGGAAGGGUUCUAUGCUCUGCUUGGAACAUAAAAUAAUUAUUACUUUUUAGAAACUUGUGGAAUACAAAACUUAAUAGGACAUAUUUCCUGCCCUUGAACUUGGGAUGGUGCAGGAGAAAGAAGCACAACAAACUAUUUUUGUUGUAGCUGCUACCAUGAGGUGUUUAUUCUAGAGAAGCGCUUAGGCUGAGCGAGGAGGAGGUGAGGCUUGAGCUAAGCCUCGAAGGAGGAGUUAGGUUUAGGCCAGGGACUGGGGGAUGGGGAGAGGACAGGCCACUGGUAAAAGGAGGAAGGGGACUUGGGGGGCGGGCAGCAGGAGUGGUGAACCCCCUGGGGGCGGUGGGGGGUUGGGGGUGAUGGAGGGUAAUGUUUGUGUGGAGGGCAGGACAGGAUGGGGAGCAGCUGCAGAGGACCUGCAUCCUGAGAACUCUGGAGAAUUUCUGAAGGGUUUUAGUUGGGAUAGAUAUAUUUUUAGAGUUGUAUUUGAGGAUAGCUCCAACUGUUGGGGAAAGUGUGGAUUGAGGAGUGAGAAAGAGAGGGCAGGGAGACCAACUAAGAGGCGGUGGCCACUUCCUGGUGACAGAAGAUAGGAGCCUGAGUGGAGCGACCAUGGUGGCAAAGAGGGCUGGACGUGAAGCACAGUCAGCACCAAGACCCGGCAGCACCUGGGGCUGUGCAGGGUUGAGGGGAAGAUGGUGUAGACAGAGUAAGAGCCAAGGAGUGGACUUCAAGGAGUCAGGAAGGAGGCCAUGAUGCUGUCACUUGACUCUUUUCUGGCACAGUCCCUCCUGGACUCUUGAGUCUUGUGUAGGCACUGGGAUUGCUGAAUAAAAGAAGUUUCUCUAAAACCUCCACCAGACCCUGGGGAGGGAGCCAGACUGUGAUGGGUCCCCCCAAGGCAGAGUACCUUUGCCACUGGAGAACCCCAGGACUCUAAGGUCUCAGCUGCAAGGGAUAUGCCCGUGUCCGGCAGAGCCAGGACAACCGAGGCAAUGGUCUUGUUAGGAAAAGACCUGCUGAGAAGGAAGAAAAAGGGGCACUUUUUACAGAGCAUUAAGGCUGGUGAGGAGCACUGGUGACAUUUGGACAAUUCUGGUUAAGUGCGACCCCGUCAGUACCAGCAGGAUUUCGAUGGGCCUUCGUGCAGUUGGUAAACUUGAUAAAAUGCCGAGCGUUGGGGAAACUCAUUGACUUUUGUAAUUAACAUUUCACCCUCGUCCCUCGCUCGCUCUCGGCGCCAGGAAAAAGCGCCGCGCUUCACGGUUCCGCCAGGGGGCAGGAGAGGUUACAU